GACGAACGCUGGCGGCGUGCUUAACACAUGCAAGUCGAACGGAAAGGCCCCUUUGGGGGUACUCGAGUGGCGAACGGGUGAGUAACACGUGAGUAACCUGCCCUUGACUUCGGGAUAACUUCAGUAAACUGGGGCUAAUACCGGAUAGGAAUCCUUGCUGCAUGGUGGGGGUUGGAAAGCUUCGGCGGUUUUGGAUGGACUCGCGGCUUAUCAGCUUGUUGGUGGGGUAGUGGCUUACCAAGGCUUUGACGGGUAGCCGGCCUGAGAGGGCGACCGGCCACAUUGGGACUGAGAUACGGCCCAGACUCCUACGGGGGGCAGCAGUGGGGAAUAUUGCACAAUGGGCGGAAGCCUGAUGCAGCAACGCCGCGUGCGGGAUGACGGCCUUCGGGUUGGAAACCGCUUUCAGCAGGGGCGAAGCUUGUGGUGACGGUACCUGCAGAAGAAGCACCGGCUAACUACGUG
rnacentral:rRNA from 1 species